rnacentral:rRNA from 1 species
AAUGCUUAGGAAUCUGCCUAUUAGUGGGGGACAACAUUCCGAAAGGAAUGCUAAUACCGCAUACGCCCUACGGGGGAAAGCAGGGGAUCUUCGGACCUUGCGCUAAUAGAUGAGCCUAAGUCAGAUUAGCUAGUUGGUGGGGUAAAGGCCUACCAAGGCGACGAUCUGUAGCGGGUCUGAGAGGAUGAUCCGCCACACUGGGACUGAGACACGGCCCAGACUCCUACGGGAGGCAGCAGUGGGGAAUAUUGGACAAUGGGCGCAAGCCUGAUCCAGCCAUGCCGCGUGUGUGAAGAAGGCCUUUUGGUUGUAAAGCACUUUAAGCGAGGAGGAGGCUACUUGGAUUAAUACUCUAGGAUAGUGGACGUUACUCGCAGAAUAAGCACCGGCUAACUCUGUGCCAGCAGCCGCGGUAAUACAGAGGGUGCGAGCGUUAAUCGGAUUUACUGGGCGUAAAGCGUGCGUAGGCGGCUUCUUAAGUCGGAUGUGAAAUCCCUGAGCUUAACUUAGGAAUUGCAUUCGAUACUGGGAAGCUAGAGUAUGGGAGAGGAUGGUAGAAUUCCAGGUGUAGCGGUGAAAUGCGUAGAGAUCUGGAGG